GGAGCAGUUGGUAGCUCAGUGGUAGAGUGCAUGCUUUGUGUGUAUGACGUCCUGGGUUAAAAUCCCAGCUGCUCUC
rnacentral:tRNA from 1 species